CAUGGCUCAGGACGAACGCUGGCGGCGUGCUUAACACAUGCAAGUCGAGCGGUAAGGCCUUUCGGGGUACACGAGCGGCGAACGGGUGAGUAACACGUGGGUGAUCUGCCCUGCACUCUGGGAUAAGCCUGGGAAACUGGGUCUAAUACUGGAUAUGAGCUCUGGUUGCAUGACUGGGGUUGGAAAGAUUUAUCGGUGCAGGAUGGGCCCGCGGCCUAUCAGCUUGUUGGUGGGGUAAUGGCCUACCAAGGCGACGACGGGUAGCCGGCCUGAGAGGGCGACCGGCCACACUGGGACUGAGACACGGCCCAGACUCCUACGGGAUGCAGCAGUGGGGAAUAUUGCACAAUGGGCGCAAGCCUGAUGCAGCGACGCCGCGUGAGGGAUGACGGCCUUCGGGUUGUAAACCUCUUUCAGUAGGGACGAAGCGCAAGUGACGGUACCUAUAGAAGAAGCACCGGCCAACUACGUGCCAGCAGCCGCGGUAAUACGUAGGGUGCGAGCGUUGUCCGGAAUUACUGGGCGUAAAGAGCUCGUAGGCGGUUUGUCGCGUCGUCCGUGAAAACUUGGGGCUCAACCCCAAGCUUGCGGGCGAUACGGGCAGACUUGAGUACUGCAGGGGAGACUGGAAUUCCUGGUGUAGCGGUGAAAUGCGCAGAUAUUAGGAGGAACACCGGUGGCGAAGGCGGGUCUCUGGGCAGUAACUGACGCUGAGGAGCGAAAGCGUGGGUAGCGAACAGGAUUAGAUACCCUGGUAGUCCACGCCGUAAACGGUGGGCGCUAGGUGUGGGUUUCCUUCCACGGGAUCCGUGCCGUAGCUAACGCAUUAAGCGCCCCGCCUGGGGAGUACGGCCGCAAGGCUAAAACUCAAAUGA
rnacentral:rRNA from 1 species